CUACGGGGGGCAGCAGUGAGGAAUAUUGCACAAUGGGGGGAACCCUGAUGCAGCAACGCCGCGUGGAGGAUGACGCAUUUCGGUGUGUAAACUCCUUUUAUAUGUCAAGAAAAUGACGGUAGCAUAUGAAUAAGCACCGGCUAACUCCGUGCCAGCAGCCGCGGUAAUACGGAGGGUGCAAGCGUUACUCGGAAUCACUGGGCGUAAAGAACGCGUAGGCGGGUUGGAAAGUCAGGUGUGAAAUCCUACAGCUUAACUGUAGAACUGCACUUGAAACUUCUAAUCUAGAGUAUGGGAGGGUGAGAUGGAAUUAGUGGUGUAGGGGUAAAAUCCGUAGAUAUCACUAGGAAUACCUAAAGCGAAGGCGAUCUCCUGGAACAUUACUGACGCUAAGGCGUGAAAGCGUGGGGAGCAAACAGGAUUAGAUACCCUAGUAGUC
rnacentral:rRNA from 1 species